UUGUCUGUCUCACCCAGUAGCAAUGAGAAGUCAGCCCAAGGGCAGAGAAAACUUAACGCAGUAUCUGGUACGCCAUGUCUUCUCCACAGAGGUGACAUGAGGUCAGUUCAUCCACUCAGAGUCCACAACUGCCCCUGGGAGCGGACACUUGCCGGAGGGACAAGAAGAUGAGCACUACCAGUAUCCACCACCAGCCAAGGGCAGAGACCUACUAGGAUCCAGGACAGUCGGAGGCACACUUACGUGAGGCUGGCAUGGAGACCUGUGGAUGUCUCACGGUCACGUGGCUGAGAAGCUGGGAUCAGAAAGGAUGGCCAGGCUCCAUGGCACGUGCUCGAUCCCAGCUAUUGCGGAGGAUGAGGCAGCAGGGUCCCUGGCGGCGGGAGUUCCAGGACCCUGAUUUUACAUGGUGUGGGCGUCAAGGAAUCAAGGUCUCUCCACACAGGCUCCAGAGUCUCCAGCAUCAACCACAGCCACCCAUUGGGCCCUGCCAAGGCCAGGAGCUGGGCUGGGCAACUAUUGUUCAAGAUCACUUCCUCCUGGAUCCUUCAACUCUGUCCUAACCAGGUUCUCAGGCUGUUACCCAGCUCACAACAGCUGAAAACAUCCCUCCCUGCAGGGAUCCAAACCUGCAGCAACUCUGCCAGACCACACUCUAGGACCCAGAGUGGGCUCGCCCAUGGCGCAGCCGGGACCCAGAGUGGGCUCGUCCAGGGCGCAGCCGGGACACAGAGUGGGCUCGCCCAUGGCGCAGCCGGGACCCAGAGUGGGCUCGCCCAUGGCGCAGCCGGGACCCAGAGUGGGCUCGCCCAUGGCGCAGCCGGGACCCAGAGUGGGCUCGUCCAGGGCGCAGCCGGGACACAGAGUGGGCUCGCCCAGGGCCCCGCCCUCAAAAGCUGUAGCCUCAAGCUGCAGUGAGGCUGGACCAUGAUCGGGUCCUGGAACCUUCGCAGGGAAGGAAGGACGGAGCAUUCACAGGGAAGGGGUGACACCAUCUCUCCACUUUCAUACCCUGAUACUCCUGUGUCCACUAUGCACCCAUUUUCCAGAUGGCACAUGCCAGCUCCAGUGGUCUGCAGGGGAACUUGAGCAGGGAUGGGGCAGGGCAGGGUGGGAGGUGUGGUCAGCCUGAUACCCUACUCCGGGGAAGAGAUGAGAUGAGAGCCCACCUGAAACACUGCCCACCCACCCAUCUCCCCACCCUCAGCCAUUCCGUUCCUCUUGCUGUUUCUUCCAUCCCUUGCCUCUUUCUAGAAAAUUAUCCUGACCGCUAGCCCACACCAUAGGUGUACUAUGAUGGCUGGACAUCCUGCCACCAAGCUGUGUGACUCCAGACCAGUGUCUUAACCUCUCUGGACUUUCAGUAGUGUUCCUAGCCAGUAACUGAAUACUGGUAGGGAACUGCCACAGAAGCCCCCGUGACAGGAGGCUGCUGUCUGAGUUAAGGGAGAACAUCAGGUCCUGUUUGCUUUUCUAUGCCUGUGUUUGUUUCUUUAUGCAGACACCUUGGAGGGGAAGUCGUCAGCAAAGCAGGCUGCCUCCAGGGAGGGCGUCUGGUCCCUGGGGGAGGGGAGGGGAGCCUCCGUAUGGCACACUUACCUUUUAAAUAUUGAAUGUAUAAAUGCACCGGUAAU